UUGAUAAUUCAGUGCUUCAACUGUCCAAUAAAAAGCAGAUUAAUGUUGACAAAUGUUAUGAUUUUUUCUCUCGGUGCUUCAAAUUCUCAGCCACAAAAUAAAUAAAAGUAUCCUGAAAUGAACGUCAGAGUAUUCUGGAGGGACUGGAGCAAUUUGCUAUCAUACUUGCAUAUAAAUGUACAUAGAAGUGAAGAGUACAUGCAUCUUUAUUCAAAGUAGGCGGUUCUCAGACAUCAAAAAGAAGGCAGCACAAUGGAAUAAGGUGUUGAAUCCUCCAUUAAACAUCUCUCUUGCCUUCAGCAUCAGUUCCUGCAGCAUGAAUUGUUGUUGAUCUUGUCUCAGCGCUGUGCCACACUGAAUCAGCAACCAUAAUUAGAGAGGCAAGGUUUAAAUCCAAAAGAUGUGAGGUUUUGAGUAACAGUAAUUGGAAGUUUAGGACUAUCAGUGAUAACAAGAACCCAUGAAAUUAAUUACUAGAUUGGGAAGCGGACGAGAUGAAUUGGGCCUUGCAUGGAUGAGGCAAAAGUGUUCUGUACGUAUUUCAUUCUCUGUGCUUGGGAGUUUAGCUUCGGUUGGUGGUGCAGGCACACCAGGCUUCUUCGGGAGUAUGUGGUCGACCAUGAUCACCCUCCAUUUGAUCCAACCAAUGCCGUUAUCACAUCUAGCAUGUUUUUCAACAUGCCAAGCAACAACAACAUGCGUUUUUUGUUAUUAACGGAUUUCCGGUACCAUUAGAACUCUUGUAUCUAGGAUAAUGGCAUAUUUUUUAGAAUAUGAAAGCUUGUUUGGCUGCAAAAUAAAAAAAUAUGGUAUAAUUUUAUUA